GACGAACGCUGGCGGCACGCUUAACACAUGCAAGUCGAACGAGAGAAGAGAAGCUUGCUUUUCUGAUCUAGUGGCGGACGGGUGAGUAACACGUGAGCAAUCUGCCUUUCAGAGGGGGAUACCGAUUGGAAACGAUCGUUAAUACCGCAUAACAUAAUUGAACCGCAUGAUUUGAUUAUCAAAGAUUUAUCGCUGAAAGAUGAGCUCGCGUCUGAUUAGCUAGUUGGUAAGGUAACGGCUUACCAAGGCGACGAUCAGUAGCCGGACUGAGAGGUUGAUCGGCCACAUUGGGACUGAGACACGGCCCAGACUCCUACGGGAGGCAGCAGUGGGGAAUAUUGCACAAUGGAGGAAACUCUGAUGCAGCGAUGCCGCGUGAGGGAAGAAGGUUUUAGGAUUGUAAACCUCUGUCUUCAGGGACGAAAAGAGACGGUACCUGAGGAGGAAGCUCCGGCUAACUACGUG
rnacentral:rRNA from 1 species